rnacentral:lncRNA from 1 species
ACAGGUGUAAGAGCUGCUGGAACCAGAGUAUUGUGGAUCUUAAUACAAGCUGAUCUUCAGGGUUAACUCAUCACUUUUCUCCAAUUCUACAGAGUCAAAAAAGUACAAUAUCGGAAGAUGGCUGGGAAAAUGAUGACCCUCCUUUUCGUCCUGAUUGCAACUGCAACAUCAGUUAACCUUGUUGCUGGCCAAGACUCCACCACUGCUGGGGCUUCAACCACCACCGCUGGGGCUACAACCACCACUGCUGGGGCUACAACCACCACUGCAGGACCUACAACCACCACUGCUGGGGCUACAACCACAACAGCUGGGACUACAACCACAACAGCUGGAGCUACAACCACCACUGCUGGGGCUACAACCACCACUGCUGGGGCUACAACCACCACCGCAGGGCCUACAACCACCACUGCAGCUGGGGCUACAACCACAACAAGUUCCACAACUACAACCACAUCUAAAGCCACAACCACCAAGCCAACAUCAUCAGCUGCAAACACGCUCAGCUACAAGACAGCUCUAUACGCUGUAUGUGUCGUAGUGAUCUCACAGAUGCUGCACUUUUAUUAAUCAGUGUAUUCACUUUCGCAAUCUUAAACAAUGAAGCUAUGCUCAGAAACAAUAGUUUUGUGAAACAAUGACUACAUUGUGUAACAUUGAUGUUUACUAUUGUAGUAAUGUAGGAGUUUUUCAAGCUAAUUUAUGUUAUAUUGCUGGUCACAUGGUUUAAUUAAUGAAAUGUAUUUUUGUGUUCUGUGUACAUAUUUGUUUUUUAUUUUGACCUUCUCUUGUGUGUACUGAUGUGUGUUGUUGAUACCGAGGAGGAAAACCCACUGUUUUGUUACUGGUUUGUUGUUUUUAUUUAUAUUUUUAGUGUAUUUUUAUACUCUUAUUAACUUGUAUACAAAGUUAUACAGUUAUACACUGUUUACAGUUGCCAUAUGAAGAGGAAAUAUGUGUAAAAUGCAUUCAAAUACAUUUAAAAAUGUAUAAAAAUAGCCAAAAAUGUAUUUUUUCUUAAUAUGCUGCAGUUGUUGGAAGUACAUUUUUGAACUUAAAAAUAUAUUUAAAAUGUAUUUGGAAUGAAUAUCACAUAUAUGGACAGGUAUAUGAAUACCAUGUGUUGGUUUUCCAAACAAUAAUAAAAUACACUGAAACAAAACUUUUGUUGAAUUU